rnacentral:misc_RNA from 1 species
UCUAGAUUAUGUUCAUGCUUGCUCAGUCGUGAAUUGGUUUUUAUGUCAAAUAGUUCGUGCAAAAAUCGUUUAGUAAAAUAUUUUAGAUAGUGAAUUAGUUUUGGUGAACAUUUUUUGAAUAAUUAAAUAUUGUAUUAAUAUCCUUAAAUACAGGUUGUGUACAUAGUGCGAAAAAGUUAUAUAAGGACUUGUAUUUGAUAUUGUAGAAGAUUAUGGCAACUUUUAAUUAUUCGACAAUUAUAGCAAGUAAAAUAACGCGAAACUUUUUAACGGCUAUUUUGAUUGUAUUAUAUACACAAAGAAGUAGCGCUAACCAAAAUCCAUUUCGUGAUCCAAGUAUUUGUGGAAAACCACAGUGUGAAACGCCAUUCAGAAAAUUUAAUUUUCAUGACAAUUUAUAUAAAUACGAAUAUAACGUAGACUUAAAUACAGAAUUUUCUGGUACAGGCAAUAAUGCGUCCAGCCUUUUCCUAAAAGCAACCGUCAUCAUAUAUUUUCCAAAGCCUUGUGAUGGCUUUUUACAAAUCACGGAUGUUAAACUUUUUGAUCAUGAGUGUAUAUCGAAGGAUGACGAAUUCAGUAAUAAUGCAAAUAGCAGAAACGAAAACUUCGAUGAAGAUGAUUAUUAUGGGGAAUUCACAGAUUCAAGAGGAUAUACUGAACCCAAUGAUAAUUUUAUUAAUAUGCAUCCAAAAAGUAUUGAGCUGGCAAAAGAUUUAAAACGACAUUUGUUACGUUUCUCUUUUAACGAUGGGCUUAUUUCGGAAAUAUGCCCAAACUUCCAAGAAUCCGUUUGGACUUUAAACUUGAAAAAAGGCAUCCUCUCCAUUUUUCAAAAUACAAUGCUGCGCUUUGAUGUCGAUUUCAAUACAACAGAAGUCGAUACAUCCGGAGAGUGCAAUGUGCAGUAUACAUUAAAAGAUGUGAAUAAUGUUUUUAUAAAGAUUCGAAAGACAAAAAAUAUGCAAACAUGUCAGAAGCGCUACUCAACUAAUUCUAUACUGCAGUCUACUCCAUACAGCUUUCGUGAUGACAAAGCUUUAUGGCCAAUAAUUGACUCUAUAAGUUACUGUGAUAAAUACACUUAAGCCAACGAAUUUUCCAGUCAUCAAAGCUCUUGGAAAAAUCCUCCGUCGUGAUAGUCAUCAGAGCUUUCUUCGAUUGAGUUGUUACAAGUAUAUCCUCAAUUGAUUCAAAACGGUGUUCUCACGUGAAUUUGCUGAAUGGCCAGAAGUUACACGAGGACAAUUUGGUGUCAAUCUCAACCCCUACGUAUUUAGAUGAGGGGUUCGACAGAGUAAAGUUGAAGGGUUUAGCACGGGAAGU